GGAAGAACCACAGCCUGCAGUGGGCAGCCCUGCCUGGUGGAGGGGCCCAGCAAAUGGCCCAUCCACAUCAGUGAGGAAUACUGUGGAAUAAUAUAUGCCAAGGGACAGAAUAGUAACAAUACAUCCCUCAGACAGAACUGUUUUGAGUUGUGUGUGCAGCAAGCAUAAAUCCGGAAGAGUUACUGAAGCAAGAGCUAGAUAGACUGUUUCACUUCAGGAACAUUUACUACUUGCUUUCAGCGAUGGCAGAGUAUGUCCAGGCCUUUCCCAACAUUUUUCUGUGCUGCCAC
rnacentral:lncRNA from 1 species